rnacentral:rRNA from 1 species
AAUGAACGCUGGCGGCGCGCCUAAUACAUGCAAGUCGAGCGAGAAGACGUAGCAAUACGUUUGUAAAGCGGCGAACGGGUGAGGAAUACAUGGGUAACCUACCCUCGAGUGGGGAAUAACUAGCCGAAAGGUUAGCUAAUACCGCGUACGCUUCUUGGACUUCGGUUCAGGGAGGAAAGCGAUGCCGAGGGUAUCGCGCUCUUGGAUGGGCUCAUGUCCUAUCAGCUUGUUGGNGAGGUAC